rnacentral:rRNA from 1 species
UGGGGAAUAUUGGACAAUGGGGGGAACCCUGAUCCAGCCAUGCCGCGUGUGUGAAGAAGGCCUUAUGGUUGUAAAGCACUUUAAGCGAGGAGGAGGCUCUCUUGGUUAAUACCCAAGAAGAGUGGACGUUACUCGCAGAAUAAGCACCGGCUAACUCUGUGCCAGCAGCCGCGGUAAUACAGAGGGUGCGAGCGUUAAUCGGAUUUACUGGGCGUAAAGCGUGCGUAGGCGGCUUUUUAAGUCGGAUGUGAAAUCCCCGAGCUUAACUUGGGAAUUGCAUUCGAUACUGAGAAGCUAGAGUAUGGGAGAGGAUGGUAGAAUUCCAGAUGUAACGGUGAAAUGCGUAGAGGUCUGGAGGAAUACCGAUGGCGAAGGCAGCCAUCUGGCCUAAUACUGACGCUGAUGUACGAAAGCAUGGGGAGCAAACAGG